rnacentral:misc_RNA from 1 species
GAUGAAGAACGUAGUGAAAUGCGAUACGUAAUGUGAAUUGCAGAAUUCAGUGAAUCAUCGAAUCUUUGAACGCAUAUUGCGCUCUCUGGUAUUCCGGAGAGCAUGCUUGUUUGAGUAUCAGUAAACACCUCAACUCCCUUUUCUUUUUUGAAAUUGGAGCUGGACUUGAGUGAUCCCAACGCUUUCUUCCAAGAAAGUGGCGGGUUGCUUGAAAUGCAGGUGCAGCUGAACUUUUCUCUGAGCUAUAAGCAUAUCUAUUUAGUCUGCCUAAAAAACAGAUUAUUACCUUUGCUGCAGCUAACAUAAAGGAGACUAGUUCUUGUGCUGACUGAUGCAGGAUUCACAGAGACAGCUUCGGCUGACUUUGUAAACUCGAUCUCAAAUCAAGUAAGACUACCCGCUGAACUUAAGCAUAUCAAUAAGCCGGAGGA